rnacentral:rRNA from 1 species
UACGAAGGGGGCUAGCGUUGUUCGGAAUCACUGGGCGUAAAGCGCGCGUAGGCGGGUCGUUAAGUCAGGGGUGAAAUCCUGGAGCUCAACUCCAGAACUGCCUUUGAUACUGAAGAUCUUGAGUUCGGGAGAGGUGAGUGGGAACUGCGAGUGUAGAGGUGAAAUUCGUAGAUAUUCGCAAGAACACCAGUGGCGAAGGCGGCUCACUGGCCCGAUACUGACGCUGAGGCACGAAAGCGUGGGGAGCAAACAGGGAUUAAGAAACCCUA